CAGUGCUUACAGUUCUUUUUGAAUUUGUCUAGUAGGUCUUCCGGUUUUUACCAGAAGGCCCUC
ensembl:snRNA U7 U7 small nuclear RNA